UUCAGUUGGAUUUUUUAAUAA
rnacentral:piRNA from 1 species